GAUGAACGCUGGCGGCGUGCCUAAUACAUGCCAGUCGAGCGAACAGACGAGGAGCUUGCUCCUUUGACGUUAGCGGCGGACGGGUGAGUAACACGUAGGUAACCUACCUAUAAGACUGGGAUAACUUCGGGAAACCGGAGCUAAUACCGGAUAAUAUUUCGAACCGCAUGGUUCGAUAGUGAAAGAUGGCUUUGCUAUCACUUAUAGAUGGACCUGCGCCGUAUUAGCUAGUUGGUAAGGUAACGGCUUACCAAGGCAACGAUACGUAGCCGACCUGAGAGGGGAAUCGGCCAAACGGGAACGAGAACACGGCCCAGACUCCAAGGGAGGCAAGCAGAGGGAAUCUUCCGCAAUGGGCGAAAGCCUGACGGAGCAACGCCGCGUGAGUGAUGAAGGUCUUCGGAUCGUAAAACUCUGUUAUUAGGGAAGAACAAACGUGUAAGUAACUGUGCACGUCUUGACGGUACCUAAUCAGAAAGCCACGGCUAACUACGUG
rnacentral:rRNA from 1 species